CUUCCUUCCUUCGUCCCUUCCUUCCUUCGUCCCUUCCUUCCUCCCUCCCUCCCUCCCUCCCUCCCUCCCUCCCUACCUCCCUCCCUCCCUUCCUCCCUUCCUCUCUUCCUCCCUCCCUCUUUUCCUUCCUCCCUCCCUUCCUCCCUUCCUCAACGGAGUCUCGCUGUGUCGCCCAGGCUGGAGUGCAGUGGCUCAAUCUCAGCUCACGGCAACCUCCCCCUCCUGGGUUCAAGCGAUUCUCCUGCCUCAGCCUCCCAAGUAUCCGGGAUUACAGGUACCCACCACCAUGCCCGGCUAAUUUUUGUAUUUUAGUAGAGACGGGGUUUCGCCAUGUUGGCCAUGCUGUUCAGGCAUUUUUAUACAAGGCAAUUCCUGUCAGCUCACAACAGUACUAGGAGAAAAGUGGAGCUGUAUCCUUUUUGCAGCCAGCUCACGGUUUUAUCUUCAUCAGCCUGGUCAAAGCUGGAUUUCCAUCACACAUGUGCUCACUCCACGGAACGUGCAAAAGGUCAAGACAUACAAACUCAGAGUUUUUAAAAUCAAGAAUUGAAAGUGGUCCACUAGCUUCUGUUCAUAGGACAUUGAGCCCCAGAUUUGGCACAUGACCGUCACCCACUCGGAACAUGAAGCACAGCUUGCCAUUUCGGACGGCAAUCACAGCAUGGCGGCUGAAAAUCAAAGUUUCUGCCCUUCUGUGAGCCUGAGCUGUUUUCAUGAAAAUGCAGCCUAACAUGACUGCAUUGAUGAUCAAACCCACAAUAUUCUGGAGAAUCAAAACCGUGAUGGCCAAAGGGCAU
rnacentral:lncRNA from 1 species